GAUUGACUCAACGACCUUUCAUGAAAAUUAACAUGUGGAAGCCCACUAAUAUUCUCAUUUUGCACUUUCAAUAUACCAACCUGGAUAUAAUCGCUGACUCAGAGGAGUCACGCAUGGCUCUAGAAAAAUACGAGGAUGGUUCCGGUAGCAGUUUCAUUUAUUCUAUCAGGAAUAGCGCAGGUGGUUUUGUAAAUUGUCGACGUUGGACCAAAGCAGAAUUGAAUAUUCAUGUCUCCCAAUGGGAACAGGUGCGAACAACUGAAAUAAUUCAUCGUAAAAUCGCGAAUUUAAAAACAGCAUCUUUCACCGCUGCAAAUCAACCGGGAACAUCAUUCCAGGGAACGGAAAGCGGUGUGACGCCGCAUAGCUUGGGAGUGAAAAAGUCAUACAGCGCGUUUUUACACAUGCCCAUGAUAGACCAGACUGUAAUUAAUGUAAGUAGGAAACAUUUAUUAAAUCAAUGCAAUUACCAUAACUUUAAAACCAUAGAGGUAGAGUUUUCACGUGUUAUAAACGUAACAAAUUUUUCGUUACUCUAGGAUCCAAUUUAUAAGAAGGUGUUUGAAAUACUGAGGCCCCUUAUCGGUAGUUGGCAUAUUCAGCAUUCCUUCGAUGGUGAAGUAGACGUCCAAAAACACGAAUUACGCAAAAGAUUUGAGGUGACCGAAAAAUUACUGUACGAUAUGAAGAAUCUCAUCGACAAAAUUGACGAUCCCGCCAUCCUGCAGUUGUUUCAGCGAUUGUUCGAGCAACCGUUCCCUCCGGAAUACAGAAGAAAUCAUUGUUUUAACUUCAACAGCUAUAGGCACAAACGCAGCAAAUGCACAUCGCCA